rnacentral:rRNA from 1 species
UACGUAGGGGGCAAGCGUUGUCCGGAUUUAUUGGGCGUAAAGAGCGUGUAGGCGGCUAGGUAGGUCCGUUGUGAAAACUCGAGGCUCAACCUCGAGACGCCGGUGGAAACCAUCUAGCUAGAGUCUGGAAGAGGAGAGUGGAAUUCCUGGUGUAGCGGUGAAAUGCGCAGAUAUCAGGAAGAACACCCGUGGCGAAGGCGGCUCUCUGGGACGUGACUGACGCUGAGACGCGAAAGCGUGGGGAGCGAACAGG